rnacentral:rRNA from 1 species
CCUACGGGCGGCAGCAGUGAGGAAUAUUGGUCAAUGGGCGCGAGCCUGAACCAGCAAAGUCGCGUGAGGGAAGACGGUCCUCUGGAUUGUAAACCUCUUUUGUCGGGGAGCACAAGACGCCACGCGUGGCGUUCCGAGAGUGCCCGAAGAAAAAGCAUCGGCUAACUCCGUGCCAGCAGCCGCGGUAAUCCGGAGGAUGCGAGCGUUAUCCGGAUUUAUUGGGUUUAAAGGGUGCGCAGGCGGAAGAUCAAGUCAGCGGCAAAAUUGAGAGGCUCAACCUCUUCGAGCCGUUGAAACUGUUUUUCUUGAGUGAACGAGAAGUAUGCGGAAUUCGUGGUGUAGCGGUGAAAUGCAUAGAUAUCACGCAGAACUCCGAUGGCGAAGGCAGCAUACCGGCGCUCAACUGACGCUCAUGCACGAAAGUGUGGGGAGCGAACAGGAUUAGAUACCCCAGUAGUC